GAUGAUCGAUCGAUGCAUCAAGCUGGUUGGGAUCGGUACGUGUGUGGUACCUUUGUAAGUUACUACGCAUUUUGUAUUUUAUUUAUACUGGUUAAUUGGUGGUCUUUGCAUUUUUCUCGACGCAGGAGCAUUAUUAUACUAAACGGCCUGCUAACAAUAUGACAGAGAAAUUGUAUACAAGCUAUAUGACAAGUUGUUGCUAGUAUCAGAGCCAAGAGAUUUUGAAUUCAAGACUUGUCUGUCGUUUCCUCUUGCUUGGAAAGCUUGCCGGCACAAGAAAAACAUGGUGGCGUUGGAGCAAUCCUAUAGCUAGAGACAUUUUUUCACAGAGCCAGACCUACAAGCGGAGGUGGCAUCACUUAAUUUAGAAGAAGGAGGCCCCACCCUGGAAAUCUGGGAGGGAGGGAUGA
rnacentral:lncRNA from 1 species